CAUGGUAGUUUUGAUAUCGACAAAAUGCGGGCUGCUAAAGAAGAUUUUGGUUUUGCUCCUGGCGGUUUCUCUGGAGGAUUCACUUCCUCUGAUAGUCGUGUUGAUGAUUCUCAGCCUAUUCUCAGCUCUGGAGCUAGCCGUAAUUCAUUGACUUCCGGAAGGUCCAGACAAAAUUAUGCGCCCAUCGGAAACCUGUAUACAGUUGCCGAAGACUUUGAUACAGGUGCCGAAGACCUGGUCUUCCCCA